GGAAGACUUAAGAUGGCGGCGUUUGCACGGAGUGCAAUCACUGCGUCCUUACGGGGGUUGCAAGGCGUCCGAAGUAUGAGUCCACUAACAAAAGUCCAGAAACUCGCCAGUUAAUAGUAUUGUGUCUCUUCAAAAUAUCGGAGAAUAAUUUCUUUCUCGCUGAUCGCCUAACUUCUACUGACGAAGCUAGGAAGUUGCAGAAGACAUGAUGUAUUGAGUAAAAGGAACUUCGGUACACAGGCCUUUAGUGAUGUGGUGGUAAGAUGUAUGAUGGAGUUCGCUCUUGUUGCCCAGGCUGGAAUGCAAUGGCAUGACCUUGGCUCACUGCAACCUCUGCCUCCCCAGUUCAAGUGGUUCUCCUGCCUCAGCCUCCCGAGUAGCUGAGAUUACAGUUUCUUCAAAGGAAAGAAGCAACUGGAACACACAUAUAACACUAACCCUUCCAGCUGCAUUAUGAGGGACCAGUACCUGUCUCAAGGCAAAAUUAUGACUUAGUUCAUCCUCACCUCUGGAGGCCAGUAAAAGUGGGUUAUAGAAGAACAAAGAGGCAUCUAGAUCUUUCACUGGGUUAUUUGGAGAGAAACAUCUCCUACCGAAGGCCAGUUUAACAAGACUGGUAGAGGAGGUUAUCUUAUCUAAUUCACAGAAAUCAACACAUUGAGUCAAGAAAAAUGAAACACAGAAACACUCUAAAUAAAAGAAGAUAAGUCUUCAGAAACCAACCCUAAUGAAAUGAAGAUAUGUGAUUAACCUGACAGGAAAUUAAAAAGAGCAACCAUAAAGAGUCUCAUGGGAGCAAUGCAUGAACAAACUGAGAAUUUUCAUAAAGAAAUAAAAGAUAACAAAAAGUAUAAAGUUGAAGAAUACAAUAACUGGACUCAAAAAUUUAAUGUGUCCAACAGAAGAAUCGAUGAAGCAGAAGAAAGGGCUAUCAAACUUGUAGAUAGGCCAUUGGAAAUCAUGUAAUGUGAGGAGAAAAAAGAAAAAAGAUUGAAGAUAGUUUAAGAGACUUUUGAGACAUCCUCAAAGGGGAAUAAUUUAUACAUUACCAGAUGGAGAAGAUAGAGGGAAAAGGACAGAAAACAUAUUUGAAGAAAUAAUGUCAGAAAACCUCAUAAUUCUGGCAAGGAAAUAGAAAUUUAGAUCUAAGAAUCUCGAACAUCAGGUAUGAUGAAUCCAAGGAGACUCACACCAAACCAUAUUGUAAUUAAAUAAAGGUUAAAGACAAUCUUCAGAGCAGCAAGGGAAUAGUCUCUUCUUACAUACAAAAUGAUCCACGGAAGACUGUCAGCAGACUUCACCAGAAAACUUUCACGCCAGAAGGCAGUCGUGAUAUAUACAAAAAGCUGAAAGGAAAACACUGCCAUCCAGGAAUACUAUCUCCAACUAUCCUGUGUUUCAAAAAUUAAGGAGAAAUAUAAAGUUCUCAAACAAAAGAUGUGGGAGUUUACCACCACUAGACCUGCACGGGAAGAAUUGCUAAAGGGAGUCCUUCAAGCUGUAGUAAAAGAGUGCUAAUUAGAAACAUGAAAA
rnacentral:sRNA from 1 species